rnacentral:ncRNA from 2 species
UACCUUUAAACUAAGUAAGGUUUUUAGGCUACUUUCUGUAGCUUAAAAUUAAAAGGGAAUCUAGUGUAAAUCUAGAACUGUUCCCGCAGCUGUAAGCAAAUUAAAAAACUAUCGGCACCACUUUUAACGUCACUAUCUUGUAAGAUGGGAAGACGCCAUAACGCAAAGUCAGAAGACCUGCCUUACCAAACUUUUACAG